GGAUGGUGGAGAAACCCCACAAGUUGCUGCUCCUGGAGCUGCUUCUCCUCUUGCACCACAAGCUGCUUCUCCUCCUGCCCCACAAGCUGCUGCUUCUCCUCCGCCCCCACAAGUUGCUGCCCCAGGGGCUGCUUCUCCUCCUGCUGGAAGCAACACAGACAAUAACUCUGCUGGUUUUGUUACUGAAUCUUCUCCGCAGAAAUUUGAGGCUUUUGAUGAAUUUGAUCCACGCGGUGGGUUUACAGGUACAGAGUUCUCGACGUUUGCGGUUCUUCAAUUUCUAGUUUGUUAGAUCUUUUGAAUUUCCUUAGCUUCUUUGCCUUUUAAACUCCUCUGCUCGAUAGAGAUUAAUUUUUUAUUGUUAGUUUGGUUUGUUAUGUACAUUAGCCACUCUACUUGUUCUAAGGGUGAACGCUGUGUUUCUUUUCUUUUCCAGAUGUAUUUUAUGCUGAAGUUUGAGCCUUUUUCUUAUUGUAUUAAGUUCUCUGUAUUUAUGUCAACUCAUAUCACAUUCCUUCGGGAUUCUAUAUAUGAUAGAGGGUCGCUCCAGAGAAAGUUUUCAGAGCAAAAUAUUGGUGCUCCACCUAGUUAUGAAGAAGCUGUCAGUGAAUCACGGAGCCCUGUAUAUAGUGAAAGGUGCCAGUUCUCUGCCAUGUAGAUUCAGAGCUACCUUGGUUUUAUUUGUUCUGAUGAAUCUUCUUAUUCCAGGGAUGGUGGAGAAACCCCACAAGUUGCUGCUCCAGGAGCUGCUUCUCCUCUUGCACCACAAGCUGCUUCUCCUCCUGCCCCACAAGCUGCUGCUUCUCCUCCGCCCCCACAAGUUGCUGCCCCAGGGGCUGCUUCUCCUCCUGCUGGAAGCAACACAGACAAUAACUCUGCUGGUUUUGUUACUGAAUCUUCUCCGCAGAAAUUUGAGGCUUUUGAUGAAUUUGAUCCACGCGGUGGGUUUACAG
rnacentral:lncRNA from 1 species